rnacentral:misc_RNA from 1 species
GUGAGUCAUCGAAUCUUUGAACGCAUAUUGCGCUCGAGCCCUCGGGCAAGAGCAUGUCUGCCUCAGCGUCGGUUUACACCCUCACCCCUCCCAACUUGUUGGGUGUGCUUGCUGUUUUUGCAAGCCACUGGGGUGGAUCUGGCUUCCCCAAUCAGCCAUUACAGGCAGAUUGGGUUGGCUGAAGUGCAGAGGCGUAAGCAAGGACCCAAUAUGGGCUUCAACUGGAUAGGUAGCCCCGGCUUUUGCCGACUACACGAAGUUGUUGCUUGUGCACCUUGCUAGAAGCCAAGCAGGAACGUG